CGCCUGCGCAGCCGGGAUUGCAGGUACCGGCCAGGGCAGAGGGCCCCAGGCAGGGUGGGCCUUGAGCACAGACAGCGAGCGGGUUGGGGGGGGGUGACUGAUGAGGAAAGGGCUGUGCCCUCUGCAGCGCGAGGAGGAUUUACCGUGACCCCUCACCAGC